GUUGUAAAGGUGGGGCACUAAUCUGAUAGGGCUGGUGUCCUUACAAGGUCAGGAAGAGAUCUCUCUCUCUCUCUCUCUCUCUCUCUCUGCCAAGUGAGGACACAGGAAGACGUGACCACGCAGGGAGAAGAUCGCCGUCUACAAGCCAGGAAGAGAGCCCUCACCAGCCCCUGACCCUGCUGGCACCCUGAUCGUGGACUUUCAGCCUGCAGAACUGUGAGAAAAUCAAUUUCUGUUGCUUAAGCCACCCAGGUGUUGGUAUUUUGUUAUGGCAGCCUGAGCAGACUGAGACAAGUACCUACUGCUCGAGACGUGGGUCUGAAGGGAGAGAAAUCCCCUCAUCUCUGAUUCUGUGAUUUGGUUUGCGAGCUGCAAGAAUAUGAGUGAAGGGAAGUGUUGAAAGAGGAUAAAAGAAGGAAUAACCCAUUAUCUAAUCACUUUGGAAAAAAUGAGGAGAGAAGUGGAAGUGUUGGUUGCAUAAGUAAUUCUGUAGAUGAAAACUAGAGCUGAUCUUCAUCUAUUUGGAAUGACAGAGUCAACCAUUUGGACCAGACUGGGCAGUCAGUUUGUGCAAAGAAAUCAGAAGCCAUUUUUCCUCCAGAGGUUUCUCCCUCUGUAUGGGCCAAAGAGAUCCCUGGUUUUGGCGACAGGCCUAUUUCACAAUGUCCUACGCAGACUUUGAAGGGUUCUUGCAGUAACAGCUCUCAGCCCAGCUUUCUUCCUUCUGUCCACACUUGUGGCUGUGGCAGUGACUUUUUAAAAAACAACCACCAUAGGAAAGAAAAAAGUCAAAGAGCAGAAGCCUCUGGAUUUUGCACCGCUGAUCACUGUAUUGACGAAGUUUGAGGUCUACUCUGCUGUUAUAUUCUAAUUGGAAGAGAAAUUUAACUGACAAGACUUAACACAAAAGACAAUAAACAGAAUUUUUUAGGUGGAGAAACAUAACUUGAAGAAAAAGAAGACUCUUGCUCAUCGAUUGUUCACUUUUCGUAAAUUGCAGCUACCUAGAGUUGUACAGUUGACAUGGCUCUUUCACAUGCAUCAUCUGAUUUGAUCCCCAAAACAAGCUCAAUGGGGCAAGAAACAGCUUGAUUAAAUGAUUUACCAAAGGUUACUUGGCUGGUAAAUGGCAGCACAGAAACUGGAAUGAGGAUUUUAGUUCAUCUAGUUUUUAAAAAAUCUAUUGUGUACCUAUUAUGGGUAAGCAUUGUAUUAGAUCUUGGAGACAAAAUGUGGACAGACAAAGAGGGAACAGACAGCAAACAAAAUUUGUUUAUGACAGUUUUGAUAGAUGCAAAUGCAAGAAAAGUGAAGAUUGUGAUGAAAAUUUAUAAGAAGGUCAUACCUUUGCCUGGAGAUGGGGUUUGGGUCAAGAGAGGCUGGCCCAAAGAAGUGACAUUUAUGUUCCCAGACCAGUGUCGUGGCUCCUAGUUUAACUAGAAUUCAAUACCAAUGGGCUCUCCACUCUAGUAAGAUAGCUUACCAUAGCAAAAUAGGGAGAAAUGAGAAAUACAACAGAUGGUAGUAUGUUUUUAUCAAGCUAAAUGUAUUUAAAAUAAAGGUCUGUCUUAUUUCUCAGAUUGUCUUUCCUAUUUAUGGGUUUAAACCA
rnacentral:lncRNA from 1 species